AAUCGACAUCCUCAUCGUGAACUGCAGCCUGUUCAACCCGACGCCGUCGCUGUCGUCCAUGAUCGUCAACCACUACAAGCUCAAAACCGACAUUAAAUCGUACAACCUGGGCGGCAUGGGCUGCAGCGCCGGUCUGAUCUCCAUCGACCUCGCCAAGGACCUCCUCAAAGCAAAUCCCAACUCCUACGCCGUCGUCGUCAGCACCGAAAACAUAACCUUGAACUGGUACUUCGGAAACGACAAAUCAAUGCUCCUCUGCAACUGUAUUUUCCGAAUGGGCGGCGCCGCGGUUCUUCUAUCGAACAGGAACCGCGACCUCGCCCGGUCCAAGUACGAGCUCGUACACACUGUCCGGACCCACAAGGGCGCUGACGACAGGAACUACAAGUGUGUUUACCAGCGAGAAGACGACAAAGGGACCGUCGGCGUUUCGCUUGCGCGUGAGCUCAUGGCCGUGGCGGGCG
rnacentral:lncRNA from 1 species